rnacentral:rRNA from 1 species
GUGCCAGCCGCCGCGGUAAUACCGGCAGCUCGAGUGAUGUCCCAUAUUAUUGGGCCUAAAGCGUCCGUAGCUGGCCAACCAAGUCCAUCGGGAAAUCCACCUGCCCAACGGGUGGGCGUCCGGUGGAAACUGGCUGACUUGGAACCGGAAGGCUCAGAGAGUACGUCCGGGGUAGGAGUGAAAUCCCAUAAUCCCGCACGGACCAUCGAUGGCGAAAGCACUUCGAGAAAACGGAUCCGACAGUGAGGGACGAAAGCCAGGGUCUCCAACCGGAUUAGAUACCCGGGUAGUCC